CUUGACAAACCUAUAAGAGGUCCAGCCUGCCCAGUGACUCUGUUCAACGGCCGCGGUAUCCUAACCGUGCGAAGGUAGCGUAAUCACUUGUUCUUUAAAUGAGGACUAGUAUGAAUGGCACCACGAAGGUUAUACUGUCUCCUUUUUCUAAUCAGUGAAACUAAUCUUCCCGUGAAGAAACGGGAAUAAAAAUAUAAGACGAGAAGACCCUAUGGAGCUUUAAACAAAUAUACACCUGCCUCUUUACCAAAAAUUUCAGAAGACAAGUAAUUACCCGGGCAUUUUGAUAUAGCGUUUUAGGUUGGGGUGACCGCGGAGCAAAAAAUAACCUCCGCAGCGAACGGGAGUAUCCCCUAAACCAAGGGCCACAACCCUAAGUAUUAAUAAAUUAACACUAAUUGACCCA
rnacentral:rRNA from 1 species